rnacentral:tRNA from 1 species
AGGAGAGUAGCUCAAUUGGUAGAGCACCGGCCUCCAAAGCCGGGGGUUGCGGGUUCGAUCCCUGCCUCUCCUG